AGAGUUUGAUCAUGGCUCAGAACGAACGCUGGCGGCGUGCUUAACACAUGCAAGUCGAACGUGAUCCAGAGCUUGCUCUGGUGAAAGUGGCGCACGGGUGAGUAACGCGUGGAUAACCUGCCCUGGUAUCUGGGAUAACAUCUCGAAAGGGGUGCUAAUACCGGAUAAGCCUACGGACUCCUCGGAGUCUGCAGGAAAAGGAGGCCUCUAUUUAUAAGCUUCCGUAUCAUGAUGGGUCCGCGUACCAUUAGCUAGUUGGUGGGGUAAUGGCCUACCAAGGCCACGAUGGUUAGCUGGUCUGAGAGGAUGAUCAGCCACACUGGAACUGAGACACGGUCCAGACUCCUACGGGAGGCAGCAGUGGGGAAUUUUGCGCAAUGGGGGAAACCCUGACGCAGCAACGCCGCGUGAGUGAUGAAGGCUUUCGGGUCGUAAAGCUCUGUCAGAGGGGAAGAAAUGAAACGUGCUAAUAUCACGUUUUCUUGGCGGUACCCUCAAAGGAAGCACCGGCUAACUCCGUGCCAGCCGCCGCGGUAAUUC
rnacentral:rRNA from 1 species